rnacentral:rRNA from 1 species
AUUGAACGCUGGCGGCAGGCCUAAAACAUGCAAGUCGAGCGCGCGGCGGAAGGGUGAGUAAUGUAUGGGGACUGCCCGAUAGAGGGGGAUAACUACUGGAAACGGUGGCUAAUACCGCAUACUAUCGGAUAACCCAUAUGGGAUUAGCUAGUAGGUGGGGUAAAGGCUAACCAAGGCGAAGAUCUCUAGCUGGUCUGAGAGGAUGAUCAGCCACACUGGGACUGAGACACGACCCAGACUCCUACGGAGGCAGCAGUGGGGAAUAUUGCACAAUGGGCGCAAGCCUGAUGCAGCCAUGCCGCGUGUAUGAAGAAGGCCUUAGGGUUGUAAAGUACUUUCAGCGUGGAGGCGUUACCAACAUAAUAAGCACCGGCUAACUUCGUGCCAGCAGCCGCGGUAAUAC